UCUUCCGGUUGCGAAGAAGGACGGUAACCUCGUUCCUAUUCUCUGGUUGUGAUUCCUUGUCUAUAUAUGUGACUGUUUGAUUCUAUUUGUGAAUAGAUCCUUUAACUUGAGAAUAUUGACUGUGUGGACUGUGAAUAUUGUUUGGUGAUAUUUUUUCCAAAAGAUUUAAUUUAUUUGUUGAGCAUGGCUGCUAACAUGAAUGCUGGUGGUUCUGGUGCUAACUCUGGUC
rnacentral:lncRNA from 1 species